UGGGGAAUCUUAGACAAUGGGGGAAACCCUGAUCUAGCCACGCCGCGUGAGCGAUGAAGGCCUUAGGGUUGUAAAGCUCUUUCAGCUGGGAAGAUAAUGACGGUACCAGCAGAAGAAGCCCCGGCUAACUCCGUGCCAGCAGCCGCGGUAAUACGGAGGGGGCUAGCGUUGUUCGGAAUUACUGGGCGUAAAGCGCACGUAGGCGGAUUAGUCAGUCGGAGGUGAAAUCCCAGGGCUCAACCCUGGAACUGCCUUUGAUACUGCUAGUCUUGAGGUCGAGAGAGGUGAGUGGAAUUCCGAGUGUAGAGGUGAAAUUCGUAGAUAUUCGGAGGAACACCAGUGGCGAAGGCGGCUCACUGGCUCGAUACUGACGCUGAGGUGCGAAAGCGUGGGGAGCAAAACAGGAUUAGAUACCCUGGUAGUCCACGCCGUAAACGAUGAAUGCCAGUCGUCGGGUUGCAUGCAAUUCGGUGACACACCUAACGGAUUAAGCAUUCCGCCUGGGGAGUACGGUCGCAAGAUUAAAACUCAAAGGAAUUGACGGGGUCAUAGCUGUUUCCUG
rnacentral:rRNA from 1 species